rnacentral:rRNA from 1 species
GACGAACGCUGGCGGCGUGCUUAACACAUGCAAGUCGAACGGAAAGGCCCCUUUGGGGGUACUCGAGUGGCGAACGGGUGAGUAACACGUGAGUAACCUGCCCUUGACUUCGGGAUAACUUCAGGAAACUGGGGCUAAUACCGGAUAGGAAUCCUUGCUGCAUGGUGGGGGUUGGAAAGCUUCAGCGGUUUUGGAUGGACUCGCGGCUUAUCAGCUUGUUGGUGGGGUAGUGGCUUACCAAGGCUUUGACGGGUAGCCGGCCUGAGAGGGCGACCGGUCACAUUGGGACUGAGAUACGGCCCAGACUCCUACGGGAGGCAGCAGUGGGGAAGAUUGCACAAUGGGCGGAAGCCUGAUGCAGCAACGCCGCGUGCGGGAUGACGGCCUUCGGGUUGUAAACCGCUUUCAGCAGGGGCGAAGCUUGUGGUGACGGUACCUGCAGAAGAAGCACCGGCUAACUACGUG